rnacentral:rRNA from 1 species
AUGCCGCGUGUGUGAAGAACGCCUUCGGGUUGUAAAGCACUUUUGUCAGGAACGAAACGGUGGGGGCUAAUAUCCUCUACUAAUGACGGUACCUGAAGAAUAAGCACCGGCUAACUACGUGCCAGCAGCCGCGGUAAUACGUAGGGUGCGAGCGUUAAUCGGAAUUACUGGGCGUACAGCGUGCGCAGGCGGUUGUGCAAGACAGAUGUGAAAUCCCCGGGCUUAACCUGGUGACUUGCAUUUUGUGCACUGCACGAGCUAGACGUGUGUCAGACGGGGGGUAGACUUCCCAGUGUAGCAGUGAAAUGCCGUAGAUAUGUGGAGGAAUACCGAUGGCGAAGGCAGACACCUGGGAUAACACUGAAGCUCAUGCACGAAAGCGUGGGGAGCAAAC